UACAGAGGUCUCGAGCGUUGUUCGGGUUCAUUGGGCGUAAAGGGUGCGUAGGCGGCGGGGCAAGUCUGAUGUGAAAUCCCGGGGCUCAACCCCGGAACUGCAUUGGAUACUGCCUUGCUAGAGUACUGGAGAGGAGACUGGAAUUUACGGUGUAGCAGUGAAAUGCGUAGAGAUCGUAAGGAAGACCAAUGGCGAAGGCAAGUCUCUGGACAGUUCCUGACGCUGAGGCACGAAGGUCAGGGGAGCAAACGGG
rnacentral:rRNA from 1 species